rnacentral:rRNA from 1 species
UGGGGAAUAUUGCACAAUGGGCGAAAGCCUGAUGCAGCAACGCCGCGUGCGGGAUGACGGCCUUCGGGUUGUAAACCGCUUUCAGCAGGGACGAAGGUUUUCUGACGGUACCUGCAGAAGAAGCACCGGCUAACUACGUGCCAGCAGCCGCGGUGAUACGUAGGGUGCGAGCGUUGUCCGGAAUUAUUGGGCGUAAAGAGCUUGUAGGCGGUCCGUUGCGUCGGAAGUGAAAACUCAGGGCUUAACCCUGAGCCUGCUUUCGAUACGGGCGGACUUGAGGGAUGUAGGGGAGAACGGAAUUCCUGGUGGAGCGGUGGAAUGCGCAGAUAUCAGGAGGAACACCAGUGGCGAAGGCGGUUCUCUGGACAUUUCCUGACGCUGAGAAGCGAAAGUGUGGGGAGCAAACAGGCUUAGAUACCCUGGUAGUCCACGCCGUAAACGGUGGGCACUAGGUGUGGGA